CUGAAGGCAUGUAACGCGUUGAUUCAAUUUCUGGAAGGGAUUUCUUGUUUAUUAAACCAACCACUUGAAAUUAAUUGGAAAGUAAAGUCUCGAUCUUGGCACAUCUAAAUCAUAAAUAUUCAACUUUCAUUUAGCUCCUAAAUAAAGCCAACAGUGAAGGUCAGACUUGGAGAGGGAUAACAAGGCUCUCAUGCUCAGUCACCUGACUGAGAAAGCUUUUGGUGCUAGCUCAGAUCACAGGACACGAGUGGAGGAGGAGUGUCGCUGGCUUCAGCUGCAGACACUUUGGUCCGGGUAUGCGGAGGUUGGCCUUUGGUCCAGACCUAUGAAGACAUAACAGCAGAGAAGCAACACACAUGAGGUUCCUCCUGGUACUGUGCUGAUGUGCGUGUUUUAACUUCUGGGCCAGACAGGCUUGCAUCUGUCCAACUAAGUGCAUGGGCUCAUCCAGACAGGCAUGCACUAAAUCUGAUCCAAAACAAAAUAAACACAUGCACAUUCACUGCUUUCUAGAGCAUACCGGAUGUUAAUAAGCAGAAUAAUUUGUAGUGGCUUGACUACUGCCUUUUUUUUUUUAGUUUGUGGCUAAUGUAUGAAGGCAUUUCUGAUCAUAACUAUGCCAAUAACCUAUUGUCACGUCAGCUAUUGCUAACUGCAUUUACUCAAACAAAAUAUUGAUGGAGUUCUUUUUUAUUGCACAGAAAAAAACCAAGUGGGCAUGCUUUCAAGAAUCACAGUCAGAGUACAGUAUGUCUGCAUUUAAUUAUGGGGUGGGAGCAAUUAACACUUGGGCUCUGCUUUGUUCUGUAUUCCAUGGCUGGUUGUUGAGAAAAUACAAUUCUCAAAAGCUUGCCAUUUAAAAUGUAUUUAGCCUAUUUUUAGUUAGCGUGAAGGGGUUUACCUACAAUUGCUUAGGGCUGUGAAGGUUGGGCUAAGACUCAGGAGACCCUAGUUCAAUCCAAAGUGUUCCCUAUGACAGUGGAAAAGUCUUAAUUUGUGUAGAAAUCUCACUGGCCUGCUGGAGAGUAAUUCCUUGCUGUAAGGCAGGGAUUCCAUUAGCUGUAAAGUGCUCAAAAUCUGAGCUACUUAAAAAACAUUGGUGUUUUCUCAGGUUUUAUUAUUAAUGUAUGUCACUAAUAACAAUUUACAUCAGACAUUCACUGAUAACUAGAGACCCUUAAACCAAAACAUUACACAAUGUGCAAUGUAUAUAGCUUUCCCCCUCUUUCAUGAAUUCUCUUAAACAUCUAAGUCUGACCUAAUUCAAAACUAUAUAUCUCAAGUAUGUCUCUUAGCUUAAAACGUAUGUUUCAGACCCACUGAAAAAAAAAAAUUAUGAUACUAAAGACCUCCUUUUUAUUAUUUCCCCUCACAACUUCACCUUGCAACACUUUCUUAAUUGCAAAACAAUUUUGGCUUGAACUUCUGUGUCUCAGUCUGCUGUACUGUGACCUAAAGAACAGUACAUACUCAUGCAGAAAUUAACUGGUCCCUUAGGAGUACUCUUGUGCUGGAGAGUGAAGGAGGAGAAGGCAGAUUUGCAAAUAGCUAUAUUUUCUUUCACCAACUUAAUUGCUUCUGUUUGGAACUUUUAAAAUCUCACCUUACCAUGCAGUCAUUUUCAAAGCGAGCACAGCAUGACUGACCCAAAAAAAAUCUGUUUGCUUUUUUAUUAUAAUUUUGGUUGUGAUAUUUUAUUAGUGGAGGCUGCGACACCUCAGAGGAGUAACAGUCGACUGGUUGUGGCACUUCUGGCAUUUCCUAGAUUAUACUCUGAUUAACUCUGCUAUAUUAAUAAAGACCUUCUAAUAUGCUUUUGUGAGAGUAAUUUCCUAGGGAUUUCAGGAAAGCAUAUGGAAAAACAAACUGCAUCACACGGCAUCACACUGACACUUCUGUGAGUCAUCAGCAGAGUUGGACCUUUGGACCUCUAGUAGGCAGAGCAUGUCUCUGAAGCUGUGGAACGACCUUGACAGAGCAAGCAGUGCUUACCAGGCAUAAGUAUCUCUGCUGAGGGCAUGGCAAAGGCCAGGGCAUCCUGUCAACACAGCUGAAAGAUACCGCUACUCAACAGGAGCUUCCUUGGUGCUACAGAAAGGGUGGUAAAAAGCUUUGAAGCUUCUAAAAACUGAAAUAAAAAACUGGAAGCGGGAAGAAAUGAAUCUAUUUAGUGAUGAACAGGUUCAACUCUCCUAUGGAUUAUGUUACCAAUCAAUCUUAUCUGAAGAUAUGGUAUGACCUACCAAUAUGGAUUAAAUUAACAACAGCAGAAUCACAGAGAAUCACAGAAGUGGUAAGGUUGGAAGGGACCACUGUGGGUCAUCAGGUCCAAGCACCCUGCUUAAGCAGGGUCAUCCUAGCUUUGCUGAAGUCAAGGUAGACAGUAUCCACUGCUCUCCCUUCAUCCAUCCAUGGACUGGCUUCAUCAUAGAAGGUAAUCAGGUUGAUCAAGCAUGAUUUACCUUCUUCAGUGAAUCCAUGCUGACUACUCCUGAUCAUCCUCUUGUCAUUCAUGUGGAUAGAGAUGGACUCCAGGCUGAGGCACUCCACCACCUUUCCAGGGAUUGAGUCCUCAGGCACCUCUCCAGAUCAUCAUGACCUUCCAAAGAUGACCGUGAGCAGCCUAGCUGUGGUGUCUGUCAGCUCUCUUGGCACUCUUGGAUGCAUCCCAUCAGGGCCCAUGGACUUGUGGAUGUCAGGUUCACCUGGGUGUUCUCUAACCCAAUCCUUCUUGGCCAAGGGAAACAGAAUACCAGACUCAAGAACAAGCAAAUCCAAAACUGAUUUGGAAGGAGUGAAUUAAGCUAUCUUGAAAGAAGACUGAAAUGUGAAUAAAGUGCAACAGAUGUAUUGUUCUUCAAAUAGUUUUCUUGAUUUGAAGGAUAUAUUUCUAGUGUAGUAUUGUUUGGAAAGUUAGGUCACAGUUUUGGAUUUGUAUUGACUUUGUAUGAAUGGUGUGUUUUACUUUUGUUCUUCCUUUGCAUCUCCAUAUUCCAUCUUGAUUUCAGCUUCAUUCUGAAAUGCAGUUAAUUCAUACCAUAGUGCAGGUAAAUGGGAACACAUUGUGCUUAGCAGCCUGUGGAAGAAUCAAGCUGUAUCUUGUAAAAUGCUGAUGGUGAAACAUUGUCGAUGGCCUCUCUCAGUGAGCUAUCUGUUCUCAAGUAUUCAAAGAAAGAAGCAAUUUCAGUUAUAGAGAUACAUUAUGUCCUUAUUUAAGGGGAAGGAAUCAGUUCCUGAUUACUCAAACACAUCUGAAAAAUGUGAACUUAAAUACUAUCAAAUUAUCUUUGUAUGGUGGGGGGGAGGGGGGAAGUGAUUUUUGUGUACUGUGAAGCCAAAUUUUCUGUGUCUGUCUAGGUGCUUUUAUUGAAACGUGUAAUGACUCACUACAAAUUAUUCUCCUGAGUAGAUUGUGUGGGCUUGAGAGCCUGUAGGUCAUCCUAAAAGUCCUAACCAACGCAGGAAUGUCUUCUGCAAAGGGUUACUAAACGCUUUGUCUCAUCUAGUUUUUAGUUGAUUGGGCAAUGACAGCCUUACAGUUUCCCCUGAGAGAUCUUUUCAUGUAACAUCAAUUCCACAUUAAUUCAUUUCUGUUUCUCAUUCUGUUGCCCUAUAAAACUUUCUGUGGGGCAAGGGAAAAAUAAUCAACAUGAAUGGAAAAGGCCCACGUCACAUUUAAUUAAAAAUAUUUCCACCCUUGGAAUGAAAAGGUAUGGUGAUAACUGGAGUCACUGGGGAGUCCUGCCUAAAAAGUGUUGGCACCAUAUCACCUUAUUUCAGUACAGAUAGAAAAUUGAAAAAAAUGUGCAAUUAUGUCUUAAACAAAAGUGUGGUGCUAGACAUCAAAUGCAUGUAGCUGAAGCAACAUAUGAACACAUGGCAUCUUUGCUAAGUAAUUUGCUCUUAAUUGUCAGCACAUUUAGUACUGGCAUUUUUAGAUACAUUUUUGGUUCAUUCUCUAACAAAUGACUCUACACUAAUUGUUCCUCCCAGCAAUUUAUUGCACAGCUGGGAGACCAAGUUGCAGAAUUGCACACACACGAUCUUGUAUUGAAUUCAUUUCUUGAAAAUGUUUAAAAUUCCAUGAGGUAGUCAAGAAUUAUUUUAAUUGCAGUGUCUACAGUGAGAAUAUGGAAAUAAUUAAAUGUCUUGCGGGUCAGGUAAGGUACAGCUUCCAGAACCUAUUGCUUAGGAAUGUUUCAACAACUGUAAUAGUGUAAAUCAAGAUAUCUUUUAGUAAUGGAGAUAACUGUGACAUUUCAGAGGAUCUCUUAAAUGCUUAUUUUUAUUUAAAAGGUGAACAUCUGCUAAGGUAGCAAACUCAUCUGUAUGCAAAAGAAUUAUCUUUCUGAGGAUCUUUCCAUUAUGAAAUACCUGUCAUGAUUCUCUUGUACAAAUCUGUUAGGUCUCACAAAUCUUUCUCUCAUGUCUUUCCUAAGGGGCACUUAUCUUCUCUGAUGAGAGAUAAAUGUUCAUAAUUUUAAAAAAAAGAAAGUUUUAAUUUUAAGCAGAGCAAAGUCUAAAGGCUUACUAAAGAGUAUUAGCUGGAACAAUAUAAAUGGAGAUGGAUCUUUAGAAAAUGGGUUGCCUACUGUAUGUGGGAUUAGCUUUCAAGAAGUGCUGAUGUCACAUUAUAAGUUGGGAACAAAUUGCUAACAAGUCUUUCCCUCUUAGCUCAUGAAUCACACUGCUCUGAUAUGUCAAAUCACAUCAAGAGCAAUCAGUCAAAUUAACUGACAUCAUGAAGUGCUUAGUGAAUUUUUCUUUUUCUUUAGGAAAAUGAUCUCAUAUCUCUCCAACUUUACACUGAAAGCAAGAUCUUGAGAAACGGAGGGGAAGUGGUUGUAUGAAGUUGGAAUAUAUCUUUUCAUCUGAAGUGAGAAAAUUCCUGAUAAAUUCUUCAGGGCCUCGUGGUUUUUAAAUUUUUUUUUUUUAAGGCUUUAUCAUUGUAAGAGUAUUUUCAUAAUUAAAAGUACUUUGUGCUUUUAGUAGUCUAUGAAAUGUAAGUAGCAUGCAUUACUGCAGAGAGUUAACAUCACCUGUAUACCUUUGCAUAGAGUGAGCCCUUUGAAAUACUGACCUCAUUCUGAAUACCUAUUUUGCAAGCUGUAACUUUUCCGUUAGCAGGAGGACUUGGUGAUAACAGGAUGAAUUCACCUGGUCAGAAGACUUGGACCUGUGAAUUGCUUGGACUGGAAAGCCCUGUUACUGCUAGCACAAGCCAAUGCCUGCUGUAGAGCCACAGCAAACACAAGGUCACAGAAGCUGAAGUUGGACUUGGAAAGAUCCAUAUGGCUUCACAGCAAUGACUGAGAUGAUGGAAAAGAAGCCUUCAGUACGGGUAUAGUUCAACACUGAAGUGACCCUGGUGAUAAUCAACAUCAUAAAACAGACCUGCAAGAAUGUUAAGUCCUAUUCACACACAUAAAAAGAAAUAGCUGG